rnacentral:rRNA from 1 species
AUGACCUACAUGGAUCAUGAAGUGGACUGGUUUGAUAGCUGCGACAGUGAUACUUGGUCAGUUCUAUGGAUUGAUGAUUUUCUUCUCCAAUUGGGCUAUGACAGAGCAAUGUCCAAGAUAGAUGUGUAUUGGAGCAAACCUGGAAAGUCUUUGUGUGAUGGCCUUCAGUUGAUUGCAUGUGAUGCAGACAUUGUCCUUAUGAUUGCUGCAAUAGUAGAUCACAAGAACUUGGUCUUGCUUGUAGACCAUGGUGACACCCUGGAGUCACUAACUGCUGAUGAUGUGUUGGUAGAGGGGAUGCUUGAGCUGCCAAGGGUUAUUACUCCAGUUAAGUCAGCAAAGGGAAAAGAAAAUGUGGACAACUUUGAGAAACCAGAAAUUGCAACAGAGAUGAGAUGUAACUACAAGAAAGCAAAGAGAUUCAUGUCAUUUGGUGAGGGCUGUAGCUCUAGGGUUCCAGAUCGAGAAUUUGAGGAAGAAGAUGGCAAUUGUGACAGUGAUGAUAGUGGUGCUGAAGAUGCAGGUGACAGUAGUGAAGAACAUGUAGAUGCAGAAGUUGAAACUGAUGAGGAUUUCUAUGAGAGUGAUUACGAAGUAGCACAAGGUGAUGAUGAUCUGUUUGAGAGCUAUGUAGACAAAGAUGUUGAUGACCAUAGACAGAAGGAGAUUGUGCCUGACUUUGAAGGAGAACUUCCUGAAGAUGCCCUAGAUGACAGUCAUCUAAACCUAUCAAAAGAAGAAGGAGACAAGCUUAGAUACAAAUUCAACACAUUCAAUCCGUCCACUGACCUUAAAGCACCAACUUUUAGAGUUGGCAUGCUUUUUGCUGAUAUGAAAGAGCUAAGGCUUGCUGUGGUUGCAUACAGUGUAAGAAACAGAGUAAAGGUUAAGAAGAUAAGGAAUACGGCCACCAAAUUUGAGGCAGUAUGCAAGCCUGGAUGUACUUGGUACUUGAAGGCAGGCAAAGAUAACAGGAGUACUAGCAUUCAGAUAAAGAAAUACCUUGACAAUCACACAUGCACCAAGGCUUGGGAUCUAAAAGCUUUGACUGCACCAUUCCUGACUGCACAAUUCAGAGAAGAAUUCAGAGACAAUGAGAAGAUGCCUUUGAGAAAGUUUUCAGAUAAAGUGGAGCAGGAAUUCAACAUGGUUGCAGAGAGAAGUAAGCUGGGAAGAGCAAGAAGAGCAGCAGUUAAACAAAUUAGAGGUGAAGAUGAUGACCAAUACAAUAUGUUGUGGGACUAUGGCCAAGAGCUUAGGAGGACUAACCCAGGAAGCAAGUUCUUCCUGUGCACUAAGGAGGUUUUUGAUGAUAAAACUAAAGAAACAAAAGACCACUUCUCAACACUGUACUGGUCAUAUAAUGCAUGUAAGAGAGGGUACCUUAAGGCUUGCAGACCAAUAAUUUUUCUCGAUGGGUGCCACAUAAAAACUAGAUACAAAGGGAACUUACUUACAUCAGUUGGUGUUGAUCCCAAUGAUUGUAUUUUCCCCAUAGCAUUUGGGCUAUGUGAAGUUGAGUCAACAUAUAGUUGGGAGUGGUUCUUAGCCACUUUAAAGGAUGACUUGAAUAUAAGCAACUCUUCUCCAUAUACAAUAAUGAGCGACAAGCAAAAGGGUUUAAUAGCAGCAGUGCAAAAAGUUUUCCCUUAUGCUGAACACAGACACUGUGUUAGGCACAUCUACCAGAACUUUCAUAAAAUACACAAGGGAGACCAACUCAAGAAUGAUCUAUGGGCAAUAGCAAGAUCUACACAUGAAAUUGCUUAUAGUAAGAACAUGGAGCAGAUGAAGGAACACAGCCUUGCUGCAUACAAGUGGGUGGAGAAGUUGGCACCUAAAACAUGGAUCAAAUCAUUUUUUCCCCUUUCUGCAAAUGUGACAUCCUUCUAA